rnacentral:rRNA from 1 species
CAUGCAGUCGAGCGGACCGACGGGAGCUUGCUCCCUUAGGUCAGCGGCGGACGGGUGAGUAACACGUGGGUAACCUGCCUGUAAGACUGGGAUAACUCCGGGAAACCGGGGCUAAUACCGGAUGCUUGUUUGAACCGCAUGGUUCAAACAUAAAAGGUGGCUUUUCGCUACCACUUACAGAUGGACCCGCGGCGCAUUAGCUAGUUGGUGGGGUAACGGCUCACCAAGGCGACGAUGCGUAGCCGACCUGAGAGGGUGAUCGGCCACACUGGGACUGAGACACGGCCCAGACUCCUACGGGAGGCAGCAGUAGGGAAUCUUCCGCAAUGGACGAAAGUCUGACGGAGCAACGCCGCGUGAGUGAUGAAGGUUUUCGGAUCGUAAAACUCUGUUGUUAGGGAAGAACAAGUACCGUUCGAACAGGGCGGUACCUUGACGGUACCUAACCAGAAAGCCACGGCUAACUACGUGCCAGCAGCCGCGGUAAUACGUAGGUGGCAAGCGUUGUCCGGAAUUAUUGGGCGUAAAGCGCGCGCAGGCGGUUCUUUAAGUCUGAUGUGAAAGCCCCCGGCUCAACCGGGGAGGGUCAUUGGAAACUGGGGAACUUGAGUGCAGAAGAGGAGAGUGGAAUUCCACGUGUAGCGGUGAAAUGCGUAGAGAUGUGGAGGAACACCAGUGGCGAAGGCGACUCUCUGGUCUGUAACUGACGCUGAGGCGCGAAA